rnacentral:rRNA from 1 species
UACGGAGGGUGCGAGCGUUGUCCGGAAUCAUUGGGCGUAAAGGGCGCGUAGGUGGCCACUUCAAGCGUGCGGUGAAAGUCGGGGGCUCAACCCCUGAUCGGCCGUGCGAACUGGGGGGCUGGAGCACUGUAGAGGCAGGCGGAAUUCCGGGUGUAGCGGUGGAAUGCGUAGAUAUGUGGAGGAACACCAGUGGCGAAGGCGACUCUCUGGUCUGUAACUGACGCUGAGGCGCGAAAGCGUGGGGAGCAAACAGG